UCCAGUGCUGAGAAAAUAUUAACUCGGAACGCUUUAAUGUUCCAGUUUGUCUCACAAAUUUACUGCUAAUCGUUCUUUAGGAUUUAAUUAACAUCAGCGUGAUAUCACGUAUUUUAAAUUCUGGAUUAACAAUAAAAUUUGCAGUUUGUAGAGUGGUAGCCUAGUGGUUUCAAGGUGGGACUCCUAUCUCUGAGGUCGUAAGUUCCAAAGUUAGAUCUCCGGCUAGUUACAAGGAUUUUCCUUCUAAAUACGCACUCGCUAUUUAUAUCAAAAAUACUGGCGGACGUCAGGCACUUACUUGUCCAUUUAGAAAGGAAUAUUCUCUGUGGACCAUUUGACUUCCUCUCGGAUAUUCCUCAUGGAUUUUUCGAUGAUGUGCUCGGCUGAAGCGAAUUCUCCUUGAUGUGAAACGUACAGCUUUGAAACUAAAUCCAAACC